AACGGCCAUACCAUGCUGAAUAUACCGGUUCUCGUUCAAUCACAGAAGUCAACCAUCAUUGGGCGCGGUCAGUACUUGGGUGGGUGACCACCUGGGAACACCGCGUGCCGUU
rnacentral:rRNA from 1 species